AUGUCGCAUAGGCAUGAAAUAUAUCAGUUCACUGAGCUCCAUAAAGACAGCAUCAGGGCAAGCAAGAGCUGGACAGGCACUAGGCGACUGUGCUUCACAGAGAAAAAUAAAAAAGGAGUUCCUAAGAAACUGAGAGGCAAAAUGUCCUCAUAUGCAUUCUUUGUGCAAACCUCCCCAAAGGAGCACAAGAAGAAGCACCCAGAUGCUUCUGUCAACUUCUCAGAGUUCUCCAAGAAGUGCUCAGAGAGAUGGAAGACAUGUCUGCUAAAGAAAAGGGAAAAUUGGAAGAUCUGGCAAAGGCUGACAAGGCUUGUUAUGAAAGAGAAAUGAAAACCUACAUCACCCCACAAAGGGGUGACCAAAAAGAAGUUCAAGGACCCCAAUGCACCCAAGAGGCUUCCCUCGGCCUUCUUCUUGUUCUGCUCUGAGUACCACCCCAAAAUCAAAGGUGUGCAUCCUGGCUUAUCCAUUGGUGGUGUUGCAAAGAAACUAGGAGAGAUGUGGAACAACACUGCAGCUGAUGACAAGCAGCCCUAUUAGAAGAAGGCUGCCGAGCUUAAGGAGAAGUACGAGAAGGAUAUUGCUGCCUACAGAGCUAAAGGAAAUCCUGAUGCAGUGAAAAGGGGGGUGGUCAAGGCUGAAAAGAGGAAGAAAAAGAAAGAAUCGGAAGAUGAGGAUGAUGAAGAGGAUGAGGAAGAUGUGGAAGAAGAGGUAGAUGAAGAUGAAGAAGAAGAAGAAGAUGAUGAUAAUGAAUAAGUUGGUUCUAGUGCAGUAUUUUUUUCUUGUCUAUAAAGCAUUUAUCCCACCUGUACACAACUCACGCCUUUUAAAGAAAAAAAUUGAAAUGUAAGGCUGUGUAAGAUUUGUUUUUAAACUGUACAGUGUCUAUUUUUGUACAGUUAACACACUACAGAAUGUGUCUUUAGACAGCCCUGUCCUGGUGGUAUUUUCAAUAGCCACUAAC